UUACCACCACUAAACGUCAAAACGGAGCAGAUUCUCAAAUCUAUAGCCAACUAUGCAUGUGAACCAGCAAAUUGUCUCCCCAUGAUGCAAAAUGUUUGCCCUUUCCAAUUCUUGUGCCAACUGUACUGCAAAGAACAACAAAAGGAAGGAGCUUGCGGGGGUGGAGCCUGCAAGUGUGUUUAAAUAAUACUCCUAACUAAAUCUCUUGUAAAUUAAUAAUGUAUUAACUACCUUCUAUUAAUAAAAAUGUUAAAAUUUGUAUAAGAAUAAA